rnacentral:rRNA from 1 species
AGAUUGAACGCUGGCGGCAUGCCUUACACAUGCAAGUCGAACGGUAGAGUAGCAAUACUUGAGAGUGGCGAACGGGUGAGUAAUAUAUCGGAACGUGCCCAGUCGUGGGGGAUAACGUAGAGAAAUUUGCGCUAAUACCGCAUACGAUCUAAGGAUGAAAGCGGGGGACCGUAAGGCCUCGCGCGAUUGGAGCGGCUGAUAUCAGAUUAGGUUGUUGGUGAGGUAAAAGCUCACCAAGCCGACGAUCUGUAGCUGGUUUGAGAGAACGACCAGCCACACUGGGACUGAGACACGGCCCAGACUCCUACGGGAGGCAGCAGUGGGGAAUUUUGGACAAUGGGCGAAAGCCUGAUCCAGCAAUGCCGCGUGCAGGAAGAAGGCUUCGGUGUAAACUGCUUUGUACGGAACGAAACGGUCGUGCUUUAGUACAGUGGCAAUGACGUACGUAAGAAUAGACGACCGACUAACGUACGUCGACCGACGUACACGCCGUACGGUACUCGUA